rnacentral:rRNA from 1 species
UACGAAGGGGGCUAGCGUUGCUCGGAAUCACUGGGCGUAAAGGGUGCGUAGGCGGGCCUUUAAGUCAGGGGUGAAAUCCUGGAGCUCAACUCCAGAACUGCCUUUGAUACUGAAGAUCUUGAGUUCGGGAGAGGUGAGUGGAACUGCGAGUGUAGAGGUGAAAUUCGUAGAUAUUCGCAAGAACACCAGUGGCGAAGGCGGCUCACUGGCCCGAUACUGACGCUGAGGUGCGAAAGCGUGGGGAGCAAACAGG